rnacentral:rRNA from 1 species
UACGAAGGGGGCUAGCGUUGCUCGGAAUUACUGGGCGUAAAGGGCGCGUAGGCGGAUAGUUUAGUCAGAGGUAAAAGCCCAGGGCUCAACCUUGGAACUGCCUUUGAUACUGGCUAUCUUGAGUUCGGGAGAGGCGAGUGGAAUGCCGAGUGUAGAGGUGAAAUUCGUAGAUAUUCGGCGGAACACCAGUGGCGAAGGCGACUCACUGGCCCGAUACUGACGCUGAGGCGCGAAAGCGUGGGGAGCAAACAGG